GUCCAGGGUAGCCUAGUGGACAUGUCAUCUGUCCGGUAAGCGGAACAUUGGGGGUUCGAUUCCGAUAUCUGGACA